UCAAACUGGGAUUAGAUACCCCACUAUGSUUAGCCCUAAACAUAAAUAGUUGUUUAAACAAACCUAUUCGCCAGAGUACUAUUAGCCACAGCUUAAAACUCAAAGGACUUGGCGGUGCUUUAUAUCCAUCUAGAGGAGCCUGUUCUAUAAUCGAUAAACCCCGAUAAACCUCACCAACCCUCGCUAAUCCAGUCUAUAUACCGCCAUCUUCAGCAAACCCUAAAAAGGAACAAAAGUAAGCUCAACCAUUAUACAUAAAAACGUUAGGUCAAGGUGUAACCUAUGGGAUGGGAAGCAAUGGGCUACAUUUUCUAUACAAUAAGAACACACGAAGAUUCUCAUGAAAUUGAUAAUUAAAGGAGGAUUUAGUAGUAAGCUAAGAAUAGAGUGCUUAGCUGAAUCAGGCCAUGAAGCACGCACACACCGCCCGUCACCCUC
rnacentral:rRNA from 1 species